rnacentral:rRNA from 1 species
UACGGGGGGGGCAAGCGUUGUUCGGAAUUACUGGGCGUAAAGGGCUCGUAGGUGGCCAACUAAGUCGGACGUGAAAUCCCUCAGCUUAACUGGGGAACUGCGUCCGAUACUGGAUGGCUCGAGUUUGGGAGAGGGAUGCGGAAUUCCAGGUGUAGCGGUGAAAUGCGUAGAUAUCUGGAGGAACACCGGUGGCGAAGGCGGCAUCCUGGACCAACACUGACACUGAGGAGCGAAAGCAUGGGGAGCGAACAGG